rnacentral:rRNA from 1 species
UACGUAGGUGGCAAGCGUUGUUCGGAAUUACUGGGCGUAAAGUGUGCGCAGGCGGCUCUGCAAGUCGAGUGUGAAAUCCCCGGGCUUAACUUGGGAAUGGCGCUCGAAACUACGGAGCUCGAGUAUGGCAGAGGGAGGUGGAAUUCCACGUGUAGCAGUGAAAUGCGUAGAGAUGUGGAGGAACACCGAUGGCGAAGGCAGCCUCCUGGGCCAGCACUGACGCUCAUGCACGAAAGCGUGGGGAGCAAACAGG